rnacentral:rRNA from 1 species
CAUUUCGGGGCAGCUAUAUAAUGCAGUCGAGCGAACGGACGAGAAGCUUGCUUCUCUGAUGUUAGCGGCGGACGGGUGAGUAACACGUGGAUAACCUACCUAUAAGACUGGGAUAACUUCGGGAAACCGGAGCUAAUACCGGAUAAUAUUUUGAACCGCAUGGUUCAAAAGUGAAAGACGGUCUUGCUGUCACUUAUAGAUGGAUCCGCGCUGCAUUAGCUAGUUGGUAAGGUAACGGCUUACCAAGGCAACGAUGCAUAGCCGACCUGAGAGGGUGAUCGGCCACACUGGAACUGAGACACGGUCCAGACUCCUACGGGAGGCAGCAGUAGGGAAUCUUCCGCAAUGGGCGAAAGCCUGACGGAGCAACGCCGCGUGAGUGAUGAAGGUCUUCGGAUCGUAAAACUCUGUUAUUAGGGAAGAACAUAUGUGUAAGUAACUGUGCACAUCUUGACGGUACCUAAUCAGAAAGCCACGGCUAACUACGUGCCAGCAGCCGCGGUAAUACGUAGGUGGCAAGCGUUAUCCGGAAUUAUUGGGCGUAAAGCGCGCGUAGGCGGUUUUUUAAGUCUGAUGUGAAAGCCCACGGCUCAACCGUGGAGGGUCAUUGGAAACUGGAAAACUUGAGUGCAGAAGAGGAAAGUGGAAUUCCAUGUGUAGCGGUGAAAUGCGCAGAGAUAUGGAGGAACACCAGUGGCGAAGGCGACUUUCUGGUCUGUAACUGACGCUGAUGUGCGAAAGCGUGGGGAUCAAACAGGAUUAGAUACCCUGGUAGUCCACGCCGUAAACGAUGAGUGCUAAGUGUUAGGGGGUUUCCGCCCCUUAGUGCUGCAGCUAACGCAUUAAGCACUCCGCCUGGGGAGUACGACCGCAAGGUUGAAACUCAAAGGAAUUGACGGGGACCCGCACAAGCGGUGGAGCAUGUGGUUUAAUUCGAAGCAACGCGAAGAACCUUACCAAAUCUGACAUCCUUUGACACUCUAGAGAUAGAGCCUUCCCCUUCGGCGGACAAAGUGACAGUGGUGCAUGGUUGUCGUCAGCUCUGUCGUGAGAUGUUGGGGUUAAUCCGCAACACCGCAACCUUAGCUUAGUUGCCUCAUUAAGUUGGGCACUCUUAAUUACUGUCCGCUGCCCACCGAGAAGAAUGUGAUUAGCUUCAAUCAUA